CUCAUAGCGUAUAUUUAAGUUGUUGCAGUUAAAAAGCUCGUAGUUGGAUUUCGGGUGUGAACGAUCGGUCCGUCUUUGAUGUGUACUGGUUGGUUGCGCCUUAUUGUCGAGGACGUGGUUCUGGCUUUCAUUAGCUGGGACACGGAGUCGGCAGCGUUACUUUGAGAAAAUUAGAGUGUUCAAAGCAGGCUAUCGCUCUGAAUACUACAGCAUGGAAUAACACGAUAGGACUCCGAGCCUAUUCUGUUGGUCUUCGGGACCGGAGUAAUGAUUAAGAGGGACAGUUGGGGGCAUUCGUAUUCCGAUGUCAGAGGUGAAAUUCUUGGAUUAUCGGAAGACGAACAUCUGCGAAAGCAUUUGCCAAGGAUGUUUUCAUUAAUCAAGAACGAAAGUUGGGGGCUCGAAGAAGAUCAGAUACCUUCCUAGUCUCAACCAUAAACGAUGCCGACUAGGGAUUGGCGGAUGUUUUUUAUGACUCCGUCAGCACCUUACGAGAAAUCAAAGUCUUUGGGUUCCGGGGGGAGUAUGGUCGCAAGGCUGAAACUUAAA
rnacentral:rRNA from 1 species